CGGGACACGUGGUAUCCUGUCUGAAUAUGGGGGGACCAUCCUCCAAGGCUAAAUACUCCUGACUGACCGAUAGUGAACCAGUACCGUGAGGGAAAGGCGAAAAGAACCCCGGCGAGGGGAGUGAAAAAGAACCUGAAACCGUGUACGUACAAGCAGUGGGAGCACGCUUAGGCGUGUGACUGCGUACCUUUUGUAUAAUGGGUCAGCGACUUAUAUUCUGUAGCAAGGUUAACCGAAUAGGGGAGCCGAAGGGAAACCGAGUCUUAACUGGGCGUUAAGUUGCAGGGUAUAGACCCGAAACCCGGUGAUCUAGCCAUGGGCAGGUUGAAGGUUGGGUAACACUAACUGGAGGACCGAACCGACUAAUGUUGAAAAAUUAGCGGAUGACUUGUGGCUGGGGGUGAAAGGCCAAUCAAACCGGGAGAUAGCUGGUUCUCCCCGAAAGCUAUUUAGGUAGCGCCUCGUGAAUUCAUCUCCGGGGGUAGAGCACUGUUUCGGCAAGGGGGUCAUCCCGACUUACCAACCCGAUGCAAACUACGAAUACCGGAGAAUGUUAUCACGGG
rnacentral:rRNA from 1 species